GCAAGUCGAGGGGUAACAGUGGAGCUGGCCUCAGCUGACGACCGGCGCACGGGUGCGUAACGCGUAUGCAAUCUACCUCUUACUGAAGAAUAGCCCGGAGAAAUCCGGAUUAAUGCUUCAUAGUAUUUUAGAUCCGCAUGGGUUAAAAAUUAAAGGUUACGGUAAGAGAUGAGCAUGCGUCCCAUUAGCUAGAUGGUGAGGUAACGGCUCACCAUGGCUACGAUGGGUAGGGGGCCUGAGAGGGGGAUC
rnacentral:rRNA from 1 species